UCUUCUGGAAAUAAUUAGGCAAGCCCAUGGCUUAAAUAUUUACUGAGGGAAACGGCUGUAACCGGCAAAAGCUAACAUUGGAAUACAUGUAUUAGCCUCAAAGGUGCCACUUUUGCUUUGAAUCUGCAUAAUUUAAAAAGCUCAUCUGAGGACACAAGGGCCCACCAACGGAGAUGGCUGGCUUUGCAAAGAAAACAAAAUAGGUGCAAAAAUCACCCUGGAACCUGCAGUAAUUGGCCGUUAAGCUCUAUGGCGUAUUUGUUGCUGGGAGUUGUAGUCUGUGCCUUGUUUUAUGAAGCGGAAAGGUCUGCCUCUCCCGGGCUUAACAAGAGCUGUCAAACCCAACCCAACCCUUAUCGUAAGAGAGGUUGAAAGCAGUGGUCACCUAAGAUCUCUGGUGGGAGCAGUUUGUUUUGUUUGUUUGUUUAUUAGAUUCUACACACACAGUUACACCAGAUCAUGAAUGUGAAGCAUUUCAAACCCCUGGAAAAAGCUUUGCAAAUGGUGAUGAUUCUAGAAGUCAGUGGCUGUGUGGGAGGUCGAAUGGAGGCUUACUGGGAUCCUACAGGGGAUUAGCAUGUAGAUUUGGGCCUGAGGCACUUGCCUUACAGUCACAAGUAAGAACCGAGGAAGAUGUUCCCACAGUAGUUUUACCUUUAAAUCUUUAUCAAGAGGCAGGCCAGCAGUGUCAAGUUCUCCUGCUUGAGAAAGAAGGUUCCCCUUCUUUUGAAAUGCAGUUUGCUAUAGUAGUAGAGGACAGGCAGUGACAGACGGGACGAUGUGAAAGGAGUUGGAUAAGUUAAAUCUUUUAAAUCUUCUGAUUCAGCGGCAGAAUUCAAGGGAGAAUUUCUGGGUUGUGGAAAUGUGGGAGGCAGACUUUAAAUAUGCAAGAUCGGCCUUUGUUUGUUUUAUCAGAAACCCUGAGAGCUAUCAUCUGGAAGCUGUACAUUCACUUGUAAAGCAUGUGAACUGCAGGGUAGCUCAGUGGUUUAGGUAUCAGGCUGUGGAGCUA
rnacentral:lncRNA from 1 species